rfam:Schistosoma mansoni strain Puerto Rico chromosome 4, complete genome
GUCCUUCUGAAUCUGUGUAGAGAUUUCGUCAGACACUAGACAAUCAGGACUGACGAAACUCCAAAAAUAAUUGGGGCC